GACGAACGCUGGCGGCGUGCCUAACACAUGCAAGUCGAGCGGGGAUUUAAGUGGAAGUUCUUCGGAAUGGAGAUUUAAAUUCUAGCGGCGGACGGGUGAGUAACGCGUGAACAAUCUGUCCCGGACAGGGGGAUAACACUUGGAAACAGGUGCUAAUACCGCAUAAGACCACGGCCUCGCAUGGGGCUGCGGUAAAAGGAGCAAUCCGGUUCGGGGUGAGUUCGCGUCCGAUUAGCUAGUUGGUGAGGUAACGGCCCACCAAGGCGACGAUCGGUAGCCGGCCUGAGAGGGUGAGCGGCCACAUUUGAACUGAGAGACGGUCCAAACGCCUACGGGAGGCAGCAGUGGGGAAUAUUGGGCAAUGGGCGAAAGCCUGACCCAGCAACGCCGCGUGAGGGAAGAAGGUUUUCGGAGUGUAAACCUCUGUCCUAUGGGACGAAGGAAGUGACGGUACCAUAGGAGGAAGCCCCGGCUAACUACGUG
rnacentral:rRNA from 1 species